AAAAAAGCAGAUGUUAGCUCAGGGCAAAUCUUCCUCAGUGAAAAAAACGCAAAAAACAAACAAAAGAACCCCCAAGAAAAACAAACACCUUCAGAGAAGGAAAAAGAUACAUCACAGAGGAACAUUAAUCAGGACAGCCAAGUUCUCACUGGAAACACUGCAAGCUGGAAGACAGAAGAGUGUUUCUGUAAGGUACUGAGAGAAAAAAGCUUGUCAAUCUAGAAUUCUAUACUCAGCUAAAUUAUCUUUCAGAAACAAAGGUGAAAUAAUGGCCUUUUCAGACAUACAAAAGGUGAAAGAAUUUAUCACCAACAAACCCACACCAUAGGAAAUAUUAAAGGAAAAUCUUCAGGCAGAAGAAAUGAAUCCAGACAGAAAUCUGGGCCUGUGUAAAAAAAUGAAGAGCCCUGAAAGUGUUAACUGUGUGAGUAAACAUAAAAAUCUCUUUAAAAGAGAGUUGCUUAAAGUAAAAUUAAUAACAACAUAUUGUGGGGUUUAUAACGUAAGAAUAAAUAUGAUGUGAGGUGGUAGCAGCAUGAAAGUUGGGACAGGAGAAGUAGAAGCAUGCUCUCGUUGGUCCUCACGUUCUACAUGAAGCGAGAAGGAAGGAAGGUGGGACAAGGCCAGGAUGGAUCCUGCACACUCUGGGCAACCACAGAGAUGGCGCAAAGGGGUUAUAGCUCGUAAUCCAGCAAAGGAGAUGAGCCUGAAUCACAAAAACACUCAGCCCAAAGGAGGACAGAAAAAGAGGAAAGGGGAGCAAAGAACAGGGAAACAAGUUAGAAACUAACAGGUUUAAACUCAACCACCUCAGUGAUCAUAUUCUGUGUCAAUGGUCUAACCAUCCAAAGGAGAAGGUUGAAAUUGCCAGAGUGGAUUUAAAAAUCAAGACUCAAUCAUCUGCUGCCUAAAAAUUCAGUUUAAAUAAAAAGACACAAACAAGUUAGACAGGCCAACGUGAUAGCCAAGAGGAGGAGAGCUGUGGGGCCUUUGAUAGUGGAGGAAGAUUGGGAAUAAACUAAAAUAAUAGGAGUGGAAAUGGAGAGGAAGGGAAAGAGAUGAAAGACACAAAGAUGGUGCUGUCUCCAGGACCCAGUAACUGGUCAUGAAUGGUAACUGGUGAUGAGGCGUAACUGGUCACAAAGGGUAGCUGGUUAUGAGGGGUAACUGGUCAUGAAGGGUAGCUGGUCAUGGGGGCAACUGGUCAUUAGGGGCAACUGGUUGUGAGGGGUAACAGCUCAUGAGGAGUAACUGGUCAUGGGGGAAACUGGUCAUUAGGGGCAACUGGUCAUGAGGGGUAACAGCUCAUGAGGAGUAACUGGUCAUGAUGAGUAACUGGUUAUGAGGGGCAACUGGUCGUGAGGGGCAACUUGUUGUAAGGAGUAACUGGUCACGAGGGGCAACUGGUCAUGAGAGAGGCCGGGCACAAGAAGCGUACCUGUUUCUCCAACGGCGCGGUCCGGCCCUCCUGAGAAGUUCAGUACGUGUUUACUCAGAGUCACCACUCGCUGACAGUGUUGAGCACACUCUGUGUCAGGCCGAGUGCUUUCCACGCCUCAUCUCACUAACGCGCCGCAACUGUACUAUGAGCUUCCUGGUCCUCAAGCGGGGGCUCAGAAGGGCGCCUGCCUUGCAGCCUCAGGGGAGCGGUCGACGCGGGACCUCACUGCAGGGCUGAGCACAGGGCCCAGCACGCAGGAAAUGCUUAAGAGAGGUUAGCGUCAUCAUUCGUAAGGCCAUUUUUCACCCAUUUUCCUCUGGGGGCCGGGGGAUUCAAGGUCAGGUGGCAUCUCCUAUGGAGGAGACCACUUUCCAAGGGCACGGCUUGAUUCUCUGUAAGGGGGACUCUGGGGGAAACAGAGGCAAAAUUGGUUGCCAUACUUCCUGGAGAAAGAGGGAAGCAUGGUGCUAUAGACUGAAUGUCUGUGUCCCCCAAAAUUCAUAUGUUGAAAUCCUAACUCCCAAUGAGACAGUGUUAGGACGUACGGCCUUUGAGAGGUGACUAGGUCAUGAGCUGGAGCCCCACGAAUGGGACUAAUGCCCUUACAGAAGAGGCUCCAGAGAGCUCCCUGGCGCCUUCCAUCACGGAUGGGACAACGAUAAGGAGCUGGCUGUGAAGCAGGAAGAGACCGUGCCAGCUGGCACCUUGAUCUCGGACUCCCAAGCCUGUAGAACUAUGAGAAAUAGAUUUGUGUUGUU